rfam:Helianthus annuus linkage group 14, whole genome shotgun sequence.
AAUAAUACGAGAUGUUGGUGCGGUUCAAUCAGAAAGCAACACUCCUUUUUAGGCGUCUAGAGUCCUGUUUUUCGAUUGAGCCGUGCCAAUAUCACGUAUGACUUC